rnacentral:tRNA from 1 species
AGUCUUAUAUUCAACUAUGAUAUAAAAUUGCAAAUUUUAAGGAGUAUAUAAAAUACUAAGGCUU